GACGAACGCUGGCGGCGUGCCUAAUACAUGCAAGUCGAACGCAGUGGGGACGGGUGAGUAACCCGUGGGUAACCUCCCAUCAGAGGGGAUAACACUUGGAAACAGGUGCUAAACCGAUCUUGAUGGAUGGACCCUCGGUGCAUUAGCUAGUUGGUGAGGUAACGGCUCACCAAGGCCACGAUGCAUAGCCGACCUGCGAGGGUGAUUGGCCAAAUCGGGACGGAGACACGGCCCAGACUCCUACGGGAGGCGGCAGUAGGGAAUCUUCGGCAAUGGACGAAAGUCUGACCGGGAAACGCCGCGGGAGGGAAGAAGGUUUUCGGAUCGAAAAACUCUGUUGUUAGAGAAGCGGUAUCUAACCAGAAAGCCACGGCUAACUACGUGCCAGCAGCCGCGGUAAUUC
rnacentral:rRNA from 1 species